rnacentral:rRNA from 1 species
AUUGAACGCUGGCGGCAGGCUUAACACAUGCAAGUCGAACGAGUGGCGGACGGGUGAGUAAUGCUUGGGAAUCUAGCUUAUGGAGGGGGAUAACUACGGGAAACUGUAGCUAAUACCGCGUACCAUAGGAUGAGCCCAAGUGGGAUUAGGUAGUUGGUGUGGUAAAGGCUCACCAAGACGACGAUCUCUAGCUGGUCUGAGAGGAGGACCAGCCACAUGGGGACGUAGACCCGGCCCAGACUCCUACGGGAGGCAGCAGUGGGGAAUAUUGCGAAAUGGGGGCAACCCUGACGAAGCCAUGCCGCGUGAAUGAAGAAGGCCUUAGGGUUGUAAAGUACUUUCAGCGGGGAGGCGUUACCCGCAGAAGAAGCACCGGCUAACUCCGUGCCAGCAGCCGCGGUAAUUC